AGCCAACCAGAAUUUGCGAUUCCCUUGCCACCAAGUGCCGGUGGAACGGAGACAGGGUUGCCGAAGGUUCUUGGGAGGGGUCCCCAGAAGUUGAGAAGCUCUGGACUGGAGUGCCUCUGAGAGAAAUUGUCACCAAAGAAAAUAGUUUGGUUGGCUGGUUUUCUGAGGCUUGGUGACAGCACUGGGCAGGCUGAGUAGAGCUGAGCUCUGACAGGGACUGAUGAGGCCUGGAACAGCGGGGAUGUGCAUAGACUAACAAUAUCUUUUCUUUUUUCUGGCAUUUAAAAA